CCCGACAUUUCCAGAUUCUCCAAUGGGACAAACAGUGAUGGAAAGGGAUUCAAUUGAGGAUUAUUACCCUUUUGCCCUAAAGUCUGAAGUAUAUAAGCAAGAAAGUCACCAUCUAAGCACUUCGAGAAGCCUCCACCGUUUUCAUAACCGACUCUCAACCGACAUUAACGUUUUCCAUCAACAUCCCCAUCCCCAUCAUCCAGGGCAUGCUCCCACAGUUAGAAUCUGUUCCUCAGUUGACAAUACAAACUUCUGUGGAAAACAGAUUCUAUUUGUUCCCUGAUUUCAUAUCUGGAUAAGUCAAUCUGCUAUUUCAAGUUUCAAGAGAUGAUCAGACGCACAUUAAUCCGUGAAAUAAGAGCUUUUCAAAUCAAGAUUUGUGUUUUCAGAAUCUGGAGACAAGGAAGUACAGCAAUGAGAUGUACGAUGGUCUCCAUUAUGUGUUAGUUGAUAAAGAGGGAAAUACGUUUCAUGCUAUAAUUGAUGAAUCUGAUUAUCCUUACGUGUUGAACAAGAUGGAACAAGGACAGAUCUACGACAUCUCCAAUUUCUCCAGACGGAAACACGUAUCCAAAUACAAAGUUGUAGAUCAUGAUGCUCAGCUGUAUUUCAAAGAGUCAACUAAAUUUGAACCAGUGGGACAUACGUUGCCUCCAAUUCCGCAGUAUGCAUUUCAUCUUCUUGAUUUUAAUUAAAAGGUAUGAAAAAGUUGGACAGUUAUAGUACUGAUGUUGACCGUAUGAAAAAGUUGAUGUUGGUCAACCUGAGUAUAGCCCUCUUGAGUUCUCUCUGUCCCUGUGCUACACGAAGUUACUCCAGUAUUAUGUGGAUCAUCCUGAAGAAAGAAGAAAUCAACAAGGCUUCCUAAAACGAAGGCUCAACCAUCCGAGGUCAAGGGUCUUAUGAUCCAAAAUUAGAAUGUUGUAUAACAUUUGGAACUUAGUAACUCAAGUUACAACCAGAUUCUGCAUGCUUCUCAAAAAUGUUCCACCACCAACUGUAACAAACUGCAAUAAUGGGAACUCCCAUUUCAAGUUUACGGAAAACAGUUCAUUACACUUUUUACAUCGCGCGGCAAAGCGCGGACACUACUAUUAGUCUUCAUAAAGCAUCGGU